rnacentral:tRNA from 1 species
GCGGGAGUAGCACAGUGGUAGUGUCCUAGCCUUCCAAGCUUGUUAUGCGGGUUCGAUUCCCGUCUCCCGCU